AUCGGAGUAGAGGAAUGGUUAACUCAUCAGACUCAUGAUCUGAGGAUUGUAGGUUCAAAUCCUGCCUCCGAGA
rfam:Daucus carota subsp. sativus cultivar DH1 chromosome 8, whole genome shotgun sequence.